rnacentral:rRNA from 1 species
GGGCUUGACAUCCCACGAACCUGCCCGAAAAGGUGGGGUGCCCGCAAGGGAGCGUGGAGACAGGUGGUGCAUGGCUGUCGUCAGCUCGUGUCGUGAGAUGUUGGGUUAAGUCCCGCAACGAGCGCAACCCUCACCCCUAGUUGCCACCGGGUUAAGCCGAGCACUCAAGGGGAACUGCCAGCGUCAAGCUGGAGGAAGGCGGGGAUGACGUCAAGUCAUCAUGCCCCUUACGCCCUGGGCCACACACGUGCUACAAUGGCCAGUACAAAGGGACGCGAGACUGCGAAGUGGAGCUAAUCCCAAAAAGCUGGUCUAAGUUCAGAUUGCAGUCUGCAACUCGACUGCAUGAAGGAGGAAUCGCUAGUAAUCGCGUAUCGGCCCGGCGCGGUGAAUACGUUCCCGGGCCUUGUACACACCGCCCGUCACACCACGAAAGCUGUCUGUACUCGAAGUCGCUGAG